UCAUUUUCAGAUGUUUAUUUUUUGCGAAUGUGUGCAUUUGGCCGGAAAACAAUCUGACAUUCCACCUUGAGAUGUUAUUUGAGAGUUGUUCCGUCCUUAAAUGUAAAGCAAGGAUUUAAAACAGUGUGAGAAAAGGUUAACAUUGUCGCCUAUGGGAAAUGUAUUGGUGGACUGUAUACCCCAUAUAUAUUGAGUACGUCUAUUGGUUCAUGGUGAUACAGGAAAACUUCAAGGUUCCUGCAGAUGGUGUUUAAAACUAUUGGCCAGUGAACACAAACCCAUUUAAUUAUAUUUUGAACCUUCACCAGGAGAAAAAAGAUGGCAGUACUUCUAAUGCAAGCAGCUACUAGGGAAGAUUUAAUGAAGGAAGAUGAGGAAGUGGAGAAAAAGCUGAAGAACAAGGAGGACAAGGGCACAGUGACUUGCAGUGUGUGUCAUGUAACAUUAUUACAACAUCUAUAUCAUGGGUCCAUAAUUUUAAGUAAGUCAUUCAUCAACCACUUUAUCUGUACUGGAAACCAUUUCUGAGAGGGAUGAAGUGAUGGAAGAUAAUGAGCCAGAGGGUGGAACGGAAGAGAAAGGGAAAGAAAUAAAGAAAAAGGCAGAAUGAAAAAGGACUAGAACUUGCAAUAGAAGAAAAAGUUGAGGAAAUGAAGAGGAAGAAAUUGAAGAUGAAAAGAAGAGCUCUGGGAGGAAAAAAUUCCAUUUGUAAGAUGUGUGGACAAAAGAAAAACAGCCAUAGAGUGCCGAUGUGGAGUGGAAUAAGUCAGUAUGACUUAAACAUGGUCAAUUGAAGUGUUUGAAUGCCCCUCCAGAAAGCAGAACAAUCUUUGAAUUUGCAGGAAAGAGUAUAAAAUUUGCUGUUAAAAUAUCAUAACAGCUAGACAAAGAUUAAAUAACAACUACAUGUACAUCUAAAGAAUUCUUUUGUCAUAAUAGUGAUUCAUGUGCUAGUACAUGUGACAAGUGCUAUAACGACCUAAUAUAAGUGUGUUUUAGGAGCAUGUUGACUCUAUUGUAAAUGUAUUGACUCCUUAUAUGACCUCAUUUAUAUAUAACAUUAUAUGAAUGGUAGUGUAGUGACUUGAAAUGUGUGUUAGUAGUAUAGCUCGUUAUGUGUGGUAAUUUUGUUAUUUGUUUUACAUGUAUGAUAGUACAUAUAGUAUGGUGACUCAUGUGUUGGGAAUUAAUGUAUAAUUUUAUGUGUGUUACUGGUAUAACUCAUAAUGUGUGUAAAUAUUGUUUUUUGUAAUAUAUAUUAGUAGUGUAGUGACUCGACAUGUGUGUAAGUAGUGUAGUGACUCGACAUGUGUGUUAUGAGUGUAGCUUAUGAUGUGUGGUUAUUUUGUGUACGUAUGUAGUAUGGUGACUCAUGUGUUAGGAAUGUAUAAUUUUAUGUAUGUUACUGAUAUGCCUCAUCGAGUGAUUUAAAAUGGUUAUUUGUAAUGUAUAUAUUAGUAGUAAAGUGACUCGACAUGUGUGUUAGUAGUGUAGUGACUCGACAUGUGUGUUAGUAGUGUAGCUUAUUAUGUGUGGUAAUUUUGUUAUUUGUUAUGUGAGUUGUACAUGUAGUAUGGUGACUCAUGUGUUGGGAAUGUAUAAUUUUAUGUGUGUUACUUGUAUAACUCAUUGUGUGUGUUUUAAUAUAGUUAUUUGUAGUGUAUAUAUUAGUAUUGUAGUGACUCCACAAGUAUGUUAGUGUGUAGUGACAUGACAUGUGUGUUAGUAGUGUAGUGACUCGACAUGUGUGUUUGAAGUGUAGCUUAUUAUAUGUGGUAUUUUUGUUAUAUGUUAUGGUUGUUGUAUAUGUAGUACGGCAACUCAUGUGUUGGGAAAGUAUAUUUUAAUUUGAUGUGUGUUACUGGUAUAGCUCAUUGUGUGUUUUAAUAAUUUUUUUUGUAAUGUAUAUUUUAUUAGUGUAGUGACUCGACAUGUGUGUUAGUAGUGUAGUGACUCGACAUGUGUGUUAGUAGUGUAGUGACUCGACAUGUGUGUUAGUAGUGUAGCUUAUUAUGUGUGGUAAUUUUGUUAUUUGUUAUGUGUGUUGUACAUGUAGUAUGGUGACUCAUGUGUUGGGAAUGUAUUAUUAUAUUCUUGCUCCAAAAGAUACUGUUUUACCCUUGUCUGUCUAGCUGUGUGUGUGUCUGUCUGACUGUCCAUAACAAAUUUUUGGUCACAGUUUUCUCAGCAACUACUCAUUGCAGAUGCUUGAAAUUUUAGCAUACUCUUUGUUUAGGCUUGGUGGGAAUCAUUUUCAUACAAAUCUGAUGUCAACUUCCUGUUUAUCCAUGUGUCUGUCCAUACCACACAUAACACAUUUUCGUCGCAGUUUUCUAAGCACUACUUAUUGCUUGAAAUUUUAGCACACUCAUUGCUGAGGCAUGUCAUAUGGUGGGAUUCAUUUUUGUAUGAAUUUGAUGCCAACUUCCUUUUUAUCUGUGCGUCUGUCUGUACCAUACAUAACGAAUUUUUUUCGCAGUUUUUUCAGCAAUUACUCAGAGCAGAUGCUUGAAAUUUUAGCACAUUCUUUAUUUUGGCAUGCCAUAUCGUGGGAUUUAUUUUUGUACAAGUCUGAUGUCAACUUCCUGUUUAUCUGUGUGUCUGUCUAUACCAUAUAUAACAAAUAUUUGUUGCAGUUUCUCAUCAACUACUUAUUGCAGAUGCAUGAAAGUUUACACACUCUUUGUUUAGGCAUGCCAUAUGAUGGGAUUCAUUUCUGAAUUUGAUGUCAACUUCCUGUUUAACUGUGCAUCUGUCUGUAUAAUAUGGAACAAAUUUUUGUCAAAGUUUUCUCAGCAACAACUCAUUGCAGAUGCUUGAAAUUUUAGCACACUCUUUGUUGACGCAUAAUUGUCAUAUGGUGGGAUUCAUUUUUGUAUGAAUCUGAUGUCAACUUCCUGUUUAUUCAUGCAUCUGUCCAUAGUUGAACUUGUGAAUAUACACAUGAUAGUGUAUAUUCAAAUCACAGCGGAGGUAUUACCAGUGAGCAUUGGCUCACAGACUUCUUGUUUUAUGUGUGUUACUGGUAUAGCUCAUCAUGUGAUUUAAUGUUGUUAUUUGUAAUGUAUAUAUUAGAAGUGUAGUGACUCGACAUGUGUGUUAAUAGUGUAGUGACUCGACAUGUGUGUUUGUAGUGUAGCUUUUUAUGUGUGGUAAUUUUGUUAUUUGUUAUGUGUGUUGUACAUUUAGUAUGUUGACUCAUUACGUGUUGGGAAUAUGUGAUUUUAUGUGUGUUAUUGGUAAAGCUCCUCAUGUGUUCUUAUAUUGUUAUUUGUAAUAUACAGUGAAACUUGUCUUAUUCGGAUGUUGUGUACUCCAAAAACUUGACUUAUACAAUGUUAACUUUAAGUCACCUGCAGUAGACUCAAUUGUUUUAAAUGUUGUCUAAUCCGGAAUGUCGUCUAAUCCAGCGAAUUUCUCGACAUGUGUGUAAGUAGUGUAGUGACUCGACAUGUGUGUAAGUAGUGUAGUGACUCGACAUGUGUGUUAUGAGUGUAGCUUAUGAUGUGUGGUAAUUUUGUUAUUUGUUAUGUGAGUUGUACAUGUAGUAUGGUGACUGGUGUGUCGGGAUUGUAUAAUAUUAAAUGUGUUACUUGUAUAACUCAUUGCGCGAUUUAAAACUGUUAUUUGUAAGGUAUAUAUUAGAAGUGUAGUGACUCGAUAUGUGUGUAAGUAGUGUAGUGACUCAACAUGUGUGUAAGUAGUGUAGUGACUCGGCAUGUGUUUUAUGAGUGUAGCUUACGCAGGUGAGUUAAGGCUAGGUAUAGGCAUUUCUAUUGAAAUAAACUAAUUCAAGUGCCUAAGAACUAUAUCUAUUUUAC